GAUCCUGGCUCAGGAUGAACGCUGGCGGCGUGCCUAACACAUGCAAGUCGAACGAUGAAACCGCCCUCGGGCGGACAUGAAGUGGCGAACGGGUGAGUAACACGUGACCAACCUGCCCCCUUGCUCCGGGACAACCUUGGGAAACCGAGGCUAAUACCGGAUACUCCUCGCCCCCCUCCUGGGGGGCCCGGGAAAGCCCAGACGGCAAGGGAUGGGGUCGCGGCCCAUUAGGUAGUAGGUGGGGUAACGGCCCACCUAGCCCGCGAUGGGUAGCCGGGUUG
rnacentral:rRNA from 1 species